rnacentral:rRNA from 1 species
CAGCCGCCGCGGUAAUACGUAGGUGGCGAGCGUUGUCCGGAAUGACUGGGCGUAAAGGGUGCGUAGGCGGCUUGACAAGUUGGAAGUGUAAUACCCGGGCUUAACUUGGGUGCUACUUCCAAGACUGCCGAGCUUGAGUGUGGGAGAGGUAAGCGGAAUUCCUAGUGUAGCGGUGAAAUGCGUAGAUAUUAGGAGGAACACCGGCGGCGAAGGCGGCUUACUGGACCAUAACUGACGCUGAGGCACGAAAGCGUGGGGAGCAAACAGGAUUAGAUACCCUGGUAGUCCACGCUGUAAACGAUGGAUACAAGGUGUAGGGGGUAUCGACGCCCUCUGUGCCGACGCUAACGCAGUAAGUAUCCCGCCUGGGGAGUACGGCCGCAAGGCUAAAACUCAAAGGAAUUGACGGGGACCCGCACAAGCAGCGGAGCAUGUGGUUUAAUUCGAAGCAACGCGAAGAACCUUACCAAGGCUUGACAUCGCAUGCAUAGUAUGGAAACAUACGAAAUCGUAGCAAUACGACGUGCAGACAGGAGGUGCAUGGCC